ACGCUUUAUUAAAAGAUAAAGGAAAUUUGGUUUGAAAAUUUUAAAGGUAAGAAAUAUCUUCUUAGAAAGAACUCUUAAAAGCUAAUGAAGAGAUUCUGAGGUAUGUCUGUAUUUAUUUCUUCAUUGAAGAAUUGUAGGACAACAGAUAAAUAUUCUCAUCAUUAAAGUGUUGUAAAUGAUCAGAGGUAAGUUUACACAAUAAGAAAAAUGAGAGCUAAAUUUUGGCAGUCUUCGUAGGGCACAUUUUGUGAAUAAUUUCAGCUAUACUCCAUUCCACAGAGUGUGUUUUCUGCUCAUAUGGCUAAUGCAGCACACCAACAUGGCACAUGUAUACAUAUGUAACAAACCUGCACGUUGUGCACAUGUACCCUAAAACUUAAAGUAUAAUAAUUAUAAAAAGAAGGUAAGAGAAAUUAUAAGCACAUCCUUACCCCUUCACUGGUUUUCUGCAAGUCUGAAAAAAAAAAUUUAAAUAAUUCAGCACAGCCCAAAACUCUUACAACAUGAUCAUAACUAUACCUUAAAGUUGUCAGAGUGCUUUGACGUAUCAUCAAUUUGUAUUUUUUUCUUUACUAACCCUUGAACAUGGUAGAACCAGUAUCAAAUUUAAUGUUCUUUUUUUCAGCCUGAUAAUGAUUCACCCAAUUUCAAUAUUAGAGAAAAGGGCAAGGCAGACAUCCUUUUAAUACACACCACAUUGUAUUGUUGAUGUCUUCAAAACAUAGCUUUUGGGUAGUUAAAUACUUCAUGUUAGAAUUAAAAAGUUCAGUUUCUUCACUGGGAUUUCUUCACUGGAAUAAAAAUAGAAUAAGAAGUAACUUGGACAAUCCCACAAGAAACACUGGCACUUCCAUUAAUAUUUUGUGUGCCUAUGAGUCUUCAAAAUAUUAGUGAUCACUACUGGUUAUGGAACAUUUAAAACCUAAACGAGAAUAUACUUUUAAAACACUCAUUCCUCUACUAGUUUGAUCAAUCAAUACCUUUGCUGAAAUUGACUGUCAAGCAUAGCUCCCUUAUUUUACUAAGAAGCAAUCAACAUCAUGCAUAUGAUCUGAUAUACAAGGUGAAAAUUUAAAACAUGGUUCAAUGCUUCUUUCUGCUAAAAUAUGUUUAAUUUUAUUAUGGGCAUAAUGGAUUUGUAGUUGCAUAGAAAUCUGAUUGCAAAAUCUUACAUGGUCUGAAGAUUUUUUGAAAGGUAUACGAAAUGGAAAGAUACAGAGUUUCUUUUUCACUCUGGGCAAGAGUUACUCAUCUAAAGGAUAUAUGUACUUAAGCACUAUAUAGAGGUUAAUCAAAAUGAAGUUCAGUAUACACAGGAGCUUUGCAUUCUGAGAUAAAAGUAUAUUUUCUGCCAUUAAAAUGUUUUCUAAGGUCAAUAAUAUGGAAAAAAUCAAAUAGUAGAAACAUGGGGAAAGGACAAGAUGUAUAUCCAAAUGUAAACUGAGACAUUAUUAGCUAUUGAUAUUUGAAAACAAGAGGAUUUUAAUAAAUACCCUUUCUUUUCAUUUGAUUGCAAUACAUA
rnacentral:lncRNA from 1 species